UUAGGGAUAGCAGCGGUAAGGCAAGGGACUUUGACUCCCUCAUGCGUUGGUUCGAAUCCAGCUCCCCGUC
rnacentral:tRNA from 1 species